rnacentral:rRNA from 1 species
CUACGGGAUGCACCAGUAAGGAAUAUUGGUCAAUGGACGAAAGUCUGAACCAGCCAUGCCGCGUGAAGGAUGACGGCCCUAUGGGUUGUAAACUUCUUUUAUAUGGGAAGAAACCCCUCUACGUGUAGAGGGCUGACGGUACCAUACGAAUAAGCAUCGGCUAACUCCGUGCCAGCAGCCGCGGUAAUACGGAGGAUGCAAGCGUUAUCCGGAUUUAUUGGGUUUAAAGGGUGCGCAGGCGGAAAGAUAAGUCAGUGGUGAAAUCCUACGGCCUAACUGUAGAACUGCCAUUGAUACUGUCUUUCUUGAGUACAGUUGAAGUGGGCGGAAUGUGUCAUGUAGCGGUGAAAUGCAUAGAUAUGACACAGAACACCGAUAGCGAAGGCAGCUCACUAAACUGAAACUGACGCUCAUGCACGAAAGCGUGGGGAGCAAACAGGAUUAGAUACCCCCGUAGUC